rnacentral:rRNA from 1 species
CACCUGAUCCCAUUCCGAACUCAGAAGUGAAACGAAAUAGCGCCGAUGGUAGUGUGGGGUUUCCCCAUGUGAGAGUAGGACAUCGCCAGGC